rnacentral:lncRNA from 1 species
UAAGUACAACUAGUACUUCUCAGGAUACUCUGGCAUGUGCUUUCUCCAAGUCAUUAAAGAAAAUGUGUAGGAUCAUAAUCUUCUUUCUAUCUUUCAUCCAGCUGCCUAAGAAAGCAUAGCUUCCACUAAAGAACUACGUGACAAAUCAAAUGUGCACAUAAUGGAAAAGGUUAUAUAUGUGAUUGACUUUAUAAAAUUAGUAAAGCUAUUCACCCAGCAGAAGUGAAGUGAAAGUACACGAUCAUUUCUAGCGCACAAUUUGAGAUCCACUUCUUAGUCCAUAUGAUAGAUUAUGGUAAGUAGCAAUUUAUGAAGUCUGCUGAACUAUGAUGAGGCUAAGCAUAUAAAUCUCAAGAGUCUUAUCUAUAUGAUGCAUGCGUUCCAUGUAUAAAUCAAUCAACACUUAUUCUUGGUAAGAAGAUUAUUAAUUAUUAAUUAUAAUAAGAUGACCCAAUUAUAUCAAUGAAAAAGGCAAGUUCCUACAUAAUCAUGCAUUCAAAAGAAUAAAACAAUUUUGUGUAACAUUAGACUAACAGAAUCCAAGAUAUUUGCUAUCACAUCAUAUCUUUAUGGCUAAUCAUUGACCAAAGCAUUAGAACAUCAUUGUUACCUGAAGAAAAUUGCAAUCCACAACUUACAAUUUGUGGAGUGAUUGGUUAUACCCCUAUUUGAUUUUGAUGAGCUCAAAACAUUUGUGUAUAUUUCAUGUUGUACUAAUGAAUUCAAUCUAGUGUUUCAGGCAAAUAUAUGUGAAUUUAUCUUUAAGAGUAUCGAGCUUUUGUUC